CCCCGCGUCCGCCCUGCCCACCCCCGCCGCGCCGGGCCGCGCCUCUUCCCCGGGAAACUCAAGUCCCGAAUUUCCUCGGAAGGCGCCCGGCGGCCACGGCCAACGGAUAUGACGAGGCUCAUCUGCUACCAGGGGGGAAAGUUUCGGGAACCCUUAAAGGGGCAGCGAGGGCCUGAACUGGCCCCCUGGCCCCGCGCGCGAGAGGGCCCGCGGGUGUCCCCUCGUCCCGCAGGGGCGGGAGCUGUCGGGGGUGACUCGGGGGUCAAGGAGGAGGGAGGAGAGUCCCCCAAAAGCCGCGAGCCUCACAGCGAGUCUCCGAGCCUGCGCCUCCCCUCGCCAAGAGCACCGUCUGCCUCUCUUCGCGUCGGGGACUGGCGGCUCACCAAGCCAUUGCCCGGGCGCUGCCCCCCAUUCCUGCCCGCCCCCCUCCUCGUCCCCACCGCGGCCCCGAGUGAUUAGAAGAGGUCUGAGUGGGGGCGGGGAGGGACAAGGGCUAAGUGGGGGAGGCGAGGACGCGAGAGCGUUGGAGAAUUUUCCCUAAAAAUCCUGGGGGAAGUGGGGGGUUUGGCCGCUGCCUGCUGCCAGCCAGACCCUCGGUUCUCCCCUCGCCCCCUUCGUCCCCCGCGGGGCAGGUGGCGCCGCGGCCGGCUGUGAACCUGGGCUUCUCCCCGUCCUCGCCUGCCCGCGCUGCAGAGGAGAAGCUGCUGGGAGCCGCUCCCUCACCUCCCCCAGGGUCCCCUAGGUCCACCUGGUGUUUGAAUUGAAAUGGUGUGUGGCAGCCCUCUCAUGGGAGAGCAUCGGUUUCCCCUCAUAUCAACCUUGAAGCUCUUCCCCGAGAAAGAACCCGUUCCUGUAGCACUGCCACAGGCUCCCGUGGGCCACUCAGGAAGACAAAAGCCCUUCAGUUACAUGGCCCCUCACUCCUUGGAAAGAGCAAACCUCAUCACUGAGCCUGUCUCUGGGCAGUGGAAGGUGAGCAAGGAUCUCACCUCCACCCCCAGAGACUGACCGAGGACCCUUGCAGGAAUAUGUGGCUCUCAGCCAGAAAGAGUCUGCGCCUGCACGUGCCCCGAUGCUCAUCGGCUGUCACUGCCAGCUCGCGUUCCUCUGACACCAGCAAUUCUCAACCUUUCUGGCCUCAGGAGCCCUUUACACUCUUAAAGAUUAUUGAGGACCCCAAAGAGCUUUUGUUUAUGUGGUUCAUAACUAUCAAUAUUUACCAAAUUAUGAAUUAAA